CGAAAUGAAAGCCAUUCUAAUUGUCUGCUUUCUCUUGGCUUCCACAUUUUUCAUUCCUGCUUCAAAUGCAGCACGAGAAUUACCCGCUGAAUAUAGAGCAGUAACUGAUCCUACCAGAAGCGGAACUCCAUGCAGUCGUGGAUCACUAUAUAUUCCGUGUCUCCCCGAGAUUCGGCCACCAGAAUCUCAUUGUACCAUCUACAGUCGUGAAGCUUGAUUAACAAAACUAACCGGCCUCAAAAACAGAGGGUACAAAGCGAUCGUACAACAUUCCAGCCGAAUCGAGGCUGAGCAAGAGAGUUACAUCAGAAGGGGGGCAAGAAAAAUGAUAAAAUCUUGACUAAGGAGAGCACCUCGUCUAGCAAGGGCGUCGGCACAUUUAUUCGCCUCUCUAUAACAAUGUCUAAUGACUCUAAUCCUAACUUGGGGAAUAUCUUUCAAAAACUUCCUACAAUCAGCCACCAAAACUUCCUCUAAUUCGCAGUAUUGUAAUUUGCACUCAAUAUGCUACCGUCUUUUCUUUUUUUUUUACCUUUUUUCUCUCUUUGUUGUGAAAAGGAACCCCGGAGAACUAUGUAGUUUGUUAUAACAUGUGCAAAAUAAAAUAACUGAAAA